CCUACGGGAGGCAGCAGUGAGGAAUAUUGGUCAAUGGGCGGAAGCCUGAACCAGCCAAGUCGCGUGAGGGAAUAAGGCCCUACGGGUCGUAAACCUCUUUUGUCAGGGAGCAAGUGCGGGGACGUGUCCCCGCAGGGAGAGUACCCGGAGCAAAAGCAUCGGCUAACUCCGUGCCAGCAGCCGCGGUAAUACGGAGGAUGCGAGCGUUCUCCGGAUUUAUUGGGGUUAAAGGUUGCGUAGGCGGAAUGGCAAGUCAGAGGUAAAAGUUCGGGGCUAAACCGCGCCGGCCCGUUGAACAUGAUGUUCUGGAGUGGGAGAGAAGUAUGCGGAAGGCGUGGUGUAGCGGUGAA
rnacentral:rRNA from 1 species